UGGGCCGAGAGGGGUGGUGGCCUCUUUUCUUCUAACCCUAAAUACGAAGGGGACGUAGGCGCCGUGCUUUUGUUCCCCGCGCGCUGUUUUUCUCGCUGGCUUUCAGCGUGCGGAAAAGCCUUGGCCUAACGUCGACCACUGUCUAGUUAGAAAAAAACAAAAAAUGUCAGCGUGGCCGGUCCGCCCCUCCCGGGGACCUGCGGCGGCUCGCCCGCCCGGCC
rfam:Heterocephalus glaber contig53546, whole genome shotgun sequence.